AGCAAUAUACCUCGUGGAAGAUCUUAGCAUAUCAAUAAGCGGAGGAAAAGAAACCAACAGGGAUUACCUCAGUAACGGCGAGUGAAGCGGUAAUAGCUCAAAUUUGAAAUCUGGCUUCGGUCCGAGUUGUAAUUUGUAGAAGAUGCUUCGGGUGUGGCUCCGGUCUAAGUUCCUUGGAACAGGACGUCAUAGAGGGUGAGAAUCCCGUAUGUGACUGGGUGCCUCCGCCUAUGUGAAGCUCUUUCGACGAGUCGAGUUGUUUGGGAAUGCAGCUCAAAAUGGGUGGUAUAUUUCAUCUAAAGCUAAAUAUUGGCCAGAGACCGAUAGCGCACAAGUAGAGUGAUCGAAAGAUGAAAAGCACUUUGGAAAGAGAGUUAAACAGUACGUGAAAUUGUUGAAAGGGAAGCGUUUGCAAUCAGACUUGCACGUUGCCGAUCAUCUGGUGUUCUCACCAGUGCACUCGGUUUCGUUCAGGCCAGCAUCGGUUUGGGUGGUUGGAUAAAGGCCUUGGGAAUGUAGCUUCUUUCGGGGAGUGUUAUAGCCCUCGGUGCAAUGCAGCCUACCUGGACCGAGGACCGCGCUUCGGCUAGGAUGCUGGCGUAAUGAUUGUAAACGACCCGUCUUGAAACACGGACCAAGGAGUCUAACAUCUAUGCGAGUAUUUGGGUGUUAAACCCAUAUGCGUAAUUAACGUGAACGGAGGUAAGAGCCCUUAAGGGUGCAUUAUCGACCGGUCCUGAUGUCUUCGGAAGGAUCUGAGUAAGAGCAUAGCUGUUGGGACCCGAAAGAUGGUGAACUAUGCCUGAAUAGGGUGAAGCCAGAGGAAACUCUGGUGGAGGCUCGCAGCGGUUCUGACGUGCAAAUCGAUCGUCAAAUUUGGGUAUAGGGGCGAAAGACUAAUCGAACCAUCUAGUAGCUGGUUCCUGCCGAAGUUCCCCCC
rnacentral:rRNA from 1 species